UUUAAAGGUAAACCAAUGUAAAGAAAAUAACUCAUCUUUUGGGGAUCUAAGUAAGUUAAUUAAUAGUUCUAGAGUUAUAGAGUUAAAUGAAAUUAGUCAGAUAUAAUCAAAACAAUUAGGAUAGUAAAAGAGAUAAUGAAAUUGGGCCCCAUCUUGGGCCAAUUUCGCUGCAAGUUUUUGGGUUUUAACCCAAUCCCGUUUUUGUAUACACCAGUUGUAUAUUAGUGUAUAUCAGCAUGU
rnacentral:lncRNA from 1 species